CCUACGGGAGGCAGCAGUAGGGAAUCUUCCACAAUGGGCGAAAGCCUGAUGGAGCAACGCCGCGUGGGUGAAGAAGGUCUUCGGAUCGUAAAACCCUGUUGUUAGAGAAGAAAGUGCGUGAGAGUAACUGUUCACGUUUCGACGGUAUCUAACCAGAAAGCCACGGCUAACUACGUGCCAGCAGCCGCGGUAAUACGUAGGUGGCAAGCGUUAUCCGUAUUUAUUGGGCGUAAAGGGAACGCAGGCGGUCUUUUAAGUCUGAUGGGAAAGCCUUCGGCUUAACCGGAGUAGUGCAUUGGAAACUGGGAGACUUGAGUGCAGAAGAGGAGAGUGGAACUCCAGGUGUAGCGGUGAAAUGCGUAGAUAUAUGGAAGAACACCAGUGGCGAAAGCGGCUCUCUGGUCUGUAACUGACGCUGAGGUUCGAAAGCGUGGGUAGCAAACAGGAUUAGAUACCCCUGUAGUC
rnacentral:rRNA from 1 species